GCGACGCCACCACGAGCGCCGCUACCACAACCGCCGCCGCCACAACCGCUGCCAGUGGCAGCGAAAACGGCGUGGCGCCUCCUCCAGCCAGCUGCUCAGAAGGAGCUUACUUCCAGCAUGCCGACUGUGGCAAGUACUACUGGUGCGUCCACGGGGUUCCAUUUGCUAUGGCCUGCCACGAGGGGCUGGUGUUCGACUUCGAGAGCAAGAUCUGCACGUGGCCGGAGGAGGCAGAAAACCCGUGUCCGGCUGGAUUGUCUUCCCCGUCCACAUCGCUGUACGUGCGGGGCAAGUUCAUCCCGUCCUACUCUCAGGACCCGUACUACAACCGCAACGCGUUCAAGUUCCAGGA